UUCCGGUGAGGGAGAGGUCGGCCCCUGGGAAAGCUGGAAGGGUGUGCUUGAGCGCGCUUCCCAGUCGCGGUAGUUCAGGGUACAGUGUUAGGGGUCCGGAGGCCGUGGGGACCCGGGAGAACAUGUCCGGCGGGAGGUUGGGGACAGGAAGUGGGACAGUGGGAGAGGCAGGGCUUUGGCGUACUGUAGGGGGCGUGGCCUGCGGGGAGUGGAGGAAUUAAAUAAAACUGGGCGUACCCUAAACAGAUUAAGCGGCCAGAAUUGGGUGAGCGAGCUCUUGAGGGGAUUUGUCUUGGAAAUUAGAGCUUGUUCUGAGUGGGCGUGGCCAUUAUGGGGCGGAGCCAAGUGGAAAGGUUGUUCCCCCUCCCAUAAUUAUGCCCAGUAGCAUGGGGCAUCGUACUCUAGCCGCCGUCCCGACUCUGUGGGCCUCCAUCCCUUGUCCGCGCUCAGAGCUGCGUCUGGACUUAGUUCUGGCUUCUGGACAGUCCUUCCGGUGGAGAGAGCAAAGCCCUGCACACUGGAGUGGUGUGCUGGCAGACCAGGUAUGGACACUGACCCAGACUGAGGAGCAGCUCUACUGCACUGUGUACCGAGGGGAAAAGGGCUGGGUUGGCAGGCCCACACCAGAAGAGCUAAAAGCCGUGCACCAGUACUUCCAGCUGGAUGUCAGCCUGGCUCAACUGUAUCAUCAUUGGAGUUCCGUGGACCCCCACUUCCAAGAGGUGGCUCAGAAAUUCCAAGGUGUGCGACUCCUACAGCAGGAGCCCAUUGAGUGUCUUUUCUCCUUCAUCUGUUCCUCCAACAACAACAUUGCCCGCAUCACUGGCAUGGUGGAGCGGCUCUGCCAGGCCUUUGGACCUCGGCUCAUUCAGCUCGAUGAUGUCACCUACCAUGGCUUCCCCAGCCUGGAGGCCCUGGCUGGGCCGGAAGUGGAGGCUCAACUCAGAAAGCUGGGCCUGGGGUACCGUGCCCGCUAUGUGAGUGCCAGUGCCCGAGCCAUCCUGGAAGAACAGGGCGGGCUGCCCUGGCUUCAGCAGCUGCGCAGGGCCUCCUACGAGGAGGCCCACAAGGCCCUCUGCACCCUGCCCGGGGUGGGCACCAAGGUGGCCGAUUGCAUCUGCUUGAUGGCUCUAGACAAGCCCCAGGCCGUGCCUGUGGAUGUCCACGUCUGGCAGAUCGCCCAACGUGACUACAGUUGGUUUCCCACCAAGACCCAAGCCAAGUGUCCAAGCCCCCAGGCCAACAAGGAACUGGGCCAGUCUGAAUAAUCCCACCUUACAGAUGAGGAAACUGAGAGGCAAAGUGACUUACCUGAGAACCUACAGUCAGGGAAUAACAAGCCCAGGAUUCAAACCCAGCGCCAGGUGCAGAGUAGGUGCUCACAAAUGUGGCACCUCUCUGAGCCUCAGUUUCUUCAUCUAUAAUAUGAAGCCAAUGAUGGUACUCCCUUCAAAGAGUUGGGAUGAGGUUCACAUGAGAUAAUGCAGGUAAGUAAGAUGCUCGCCACAGUGCCUGACAUAUAGUAAAUGCUCGAAAAAUGAACCAGUGAUGGUGAUUGAGCUUGAUGGAAGAUGGCUCUGCCACAGACUUGGUGUGUGACCUUGGGCAAGUCCUUUGCCUUCUCUGGGCCUCAGUUUCCCCAGCCCUACCACCAGUAGUGAAAAUGAUCAUUUCGUCCCUGCCCAGGGUGGUUGGAAAGCUCAGGGAAGAGAGUGGAUGUGAAGAUUCUCUAUAAACUUUCCAGUGAGGGCAGCAAGCGUCAUAUCAGCGUAAGCAAUUCCUAGACCAGGUGGUGUUGAUUUAGUCACAGGUUCAGCAUACAGACAUUUUUAAACUUGCUGAGUGGCUUAUGUGGGGAGAAUUUGAGGUAGGUCUAGCAAUAACACCAGUUGAGAUCCGUGGGUGCAAGCCAUGUUCAAGGAUUGACCUUUAGACCUGAUUUAACAGAUUAAACCACUGUAAAUAAGCAGUGACAUCUCAAUCACAUCUGUCAUGUUAGCUAUUGUGCCAGGCACUUGAAGCAAAGGACCUCUAAUGCUCUCCACCACCUUGACAAGUGGAGGUUAUUACCCCAUUUUAUAAAUAAACAAUUUGAGGCUCCGAGGAGUUAACUGAUUUGCCCACAGCAGAGGUUGG